CAGUCACAACAUGAGGAAACACCAGUUCCUGUAUGAUCACCAAUGUUAAGCAGUAUCGAGUCUAGUCAGUACUUAGAUGGGUGACCACUUGGGAAUACCAGGUUCUGUAAG